rnacentral:misc_RNA from 1 species
AAGGAAGCGGUGGAGUUCGUUGGUUGGCUGGUCCCAAACUUGGAGGACGCUCCAGCUGGCGGUCCGGCCCUUGUUUUCGUUGGUGCGAUCGGCUGAUGUGCCGGCAGGGUCGAUCGUGACGAAGCGGCGGCAGCGGCCGUCUUCGAUCGUCGCGAAAAUGCGGCCGCCGCGUCCCAGCAACUCCAGCUGGCCAUGG